rnacentral:piRNA from 1 species
UGAAGAAGUUGCUUUCGGGCUGUGCGGC